rnacentral:lncRNA from 1 species
UAUGCGUGUCCUGGUCGAGGACAGGACAAUAACCGAUUCGUUCGACCGGUUCCAUCCAUUCCACUGUGUGGUGGAUGUCAGUGGUGAGAGGCAGGUGCGACCGUGACUUGCCUUCCUCCCUUCGGUUCACGUAAUUACGCUUGCGCGUAUCUCUGUCGCGCCCUCGUACGUACGUAAGCACGAGACCGUUCUACACGAAUGCACGUGCUUUAGCCUCGUCUAGCUCGCCAUCCACCCGCCUGUAUUACCUGACGAGACCGCGUUACGAUACGUGUGUACAUAACGGGGCCAUGUAAGCAACGUAGUGUGAUAUACGGGGUGGCUUAGCCUACGUGCAUCGUGGUUGGAUGAUUUCUGUGUGACGAGGCGUUUUGGAAGUGUAAGCCUAAGAGAAUGUAACUCGACUGGUUUCUGAGAACUCUGAUGGAAAUGUUCAAGCUGCAGAAUGUAAGACGGCGCAUCCCUCAUCGAAUCGGUCGGCUAAAUUCGCCGAUCUGGCAAAGUGUCGCGGGUGUCUAUUCCCCGUGACCUUGACUUGGCGGCUAAGAGGUUUACCCUGGUAAACCCCGGUAUCUCGGGAUACCACUCGGGGGUGGUCUCGGUCGUAGGGAUUAAGACAGGGUUGUUCGACGGGACGACAGAGGGCUGCUGGGAUCGGCCCUGGUGGACGGGAGGAGCGGGGAGGGGAUGCAAAGGGGAGGAGGGGGGCGAGACGCCGAGAGAAAGGGAAAAGAGACUGCACCCGUAUAAUUGAUUGAGUCUAAUGAGUUAAAGGGGAUGGCUGGCGGUGGUGGAAUUAAAGAGUUCUGGGUCAUGGAGGCGACAACCGACCAGUUCCCCAGGAGGGAGACUUAGACUAUACCUCUGCCUCCUCCUGCUUCCUUCGCCUCGCCACGAGGGCGCUGAUUGUAAAUUAGUUAAAGGAGAUGGUUCAUUAGAAUCAGCUGAUCCUUGCCUUUUAACAGAUUCUUGGGGAUGAUGAGCGGUUGAUGAAAGGUUAUCUGUACUUGGAAUCCAUAUUACAAUUUUAACGAACCUUUAUGCAAUCUUUAUACUUUUCACAAAAGAUGUAUCAAAUUUUCAACACGAUUCAAAUCGUUCGUGGAAAUUCAAAAUUGUGGAUAUUCAAUCCUUCAGCUCGAUCUUUCUUAAUCGAGAUUACGAUUCCUCGAUUCGCGAACAAAAAUUAUCAAAAAUGUACGCUCGGAUCCGCGCGCAAUCUCAUUUCAUCCCCGCGAUAUUACUUUUCGGUCGUCGCGAAACAGUAUCUCGAGGACGUGUCUCUCGGUCGCUUUUCAAUUUGCUUGCUUGCGGGAGAGGGAGGGAAGGUGGGAGGCCGCGGAACGCGCGGAAGGAAGGAAGUGUCCUCCUUCAUCGGGGAGAAAGGGGAGGAGCGCGCGAGGAGCGUCUUCUCUCCACAUCCCCCAAGGGAAAUUAUUGACAGUCAGCGAAGGAAAUGACGUCGUAAAUACCACGUCGGUGGCGCACCCCCUCGAACCCGCUCGUUUCUUUUCGCCGACCUUAAACCUCCCCCUCCUAUUGCCAGGCGCCACCUUCUUGCGCUGCUUCUUCUCGCUUAAUCCCCCUUUGUUCCCUUCGCGCCUUCGCGUCUUCCUGCACGUUUCUACAAUUAAUUCGAUUAAUUCGAUUUUCCUUCUUUUGUUCCAAUCGUUAUUUUUUUAUUCAUUUAUUUUGAGACGAUGUAUCGUUUUCUCGUGAAAAUGGAGUGGUUGGAAAAGGGUUUCUUCGAAUGUAGAUUGUGAAAGGAAUGAAUGAUCGUGGAAUGUUUAAAGAUUAGGGCGGUAGAAAGGGAUAGGUUUAUCCUUCUUCUUUUUUGAAUUUAAUAUAAAAUUUUUGAAUAAACUGCAUUUGGAGAGUUUCGAUGGUGGAUGAAUUAUUCCUUCGUUCUUGUUGAGCAUAUUUUCUACUUUUCUUCUUACUUUCUGUCUUUAUUCAACUGUUUCGUUUCAAUCUUUCGAAAUGGAACGAGAGAAGGUUGAAACAGAGCAGCCUUUUAGAAACAUUUUGACCAAAAUGGAAGGUAGAAGUAGGUAGAACGAGGCCAAGAGAGUAGGAUUAAAACAUUCUUUGGAAACUUCUCAUUACGUAAAAUACCAGUCAUUGAAACGUAAAUUUGUGUUAGGAUAAUUGUAACAAUUGCAGAAAAUUGACAAGUUCUUUUGAUAAUCUUGAUUAAUCAUAAUCAUUAAAAGUGUAAACUUUUUUAAAAAAAUUCUCUUUAGAAUUA